rnacentral:rRNA from 1 species
GGACUACAGGGGUUUCUAAUCCUGUUUGAUCCCCACGCUUUCGCACAUCAGCGUCAGUUACAGACCAGAAAGUCGCCUUCGCCACUGGUGUUCCUCCAUAUCUCUGCGCAUUUCACCGCUACACAUGGAAUUCCACUUUCCUCUUCUGCACUCAAGUUUUCCAGUUUCCAAUGACCCUCCACGGUUGAGCCGUGGGCUUUCACAUCAGACUUAAAAAACCGCCUACGCGCGCUUUACGCCCAAUAAUUCCGGAUAACGCUUGCCACCUACGUAUUACCGCGGCUGCUGGCAC